rnacentral:rRNA from 1 species
AUUAACAGGAUUAGAUACCCUGGUAGUCCACGCCGUAAACGAUGGAUACUAGCUGUUCGGCCGCAAGGUUGAGUGGCUAAGCGAAAGUGAUAAGUAUCCCACCUGGAGAGUACGGUCGCAAGACUGAAACUCAAAGGAAUUGACGGGGGCCCGCACAAGCGGUGGAGCAUGUGGUUUAAUUCGAUGAUACGCGAGGAACCUUACCAGGGCUUAAAUGUAGUCUGACAGAUGCAGAAAUGUGUUUUUCUUCGGACAGAUUACAAGGUGCUGCAUGGUUGUCGUCAGCUCGUGCCGUGAGGUGUCAGGUUAAGUCCUAUAACGAGCGCAACCCCUGUUGUUAGUUGCCAGCGAGUAAUGUCGGGAACUCUAGCAAGACUGCCGGUGCAAACCGAGAGGAAGGUGGGGAUGACGUCAAAUCAUCACGGCCCUUACGUCCUGGGCCACACACGUGCUACAAUGGCCGGUACAGAGAGCAGCCACCUGGUGACAGGGAGCGAAUCUAUAAAGCCGGUCACAGUUCGGAUUGGAGUCUGCAACUCGACUCUAUGAAGCUGGAAUCGCUAGUAAUCGGAUAUCAGCCAUGAUCCGGUGAAUACGUUCCCGGGCCUUGUACACACCGCCCGUCAAGCCAUGGAAGCCGGGGGUACCUGAAGUCGGUGACCGCAAGGAGCUGCCUAGGGUAAAACCGGUAACUGGGGCUAAGUCGUAACAAGG